rnacentral:tRNA from 1 species
GGUCAUGGCUCAGAGUAGAGCGCUAGCCUACCAUGAAGGAGGCCCUGGGUUCGAUCCUCAGCACCA